UACGUAGGGUGCAAGCGUUGUCCGGAAUUAUUGGGCGUAAAGAGCUCGUAGGCGGUUUGUUGCGUCGGCUGUGAAAUCCCGAGGCUCAACCUCGGGUCUGCAGUCGAUACGAGCAAACUAGAGUGUUGCAGGGGAGACUGGAAUUCCUGGUGUAGCGGUGAAAUGCGCAGAUAUCGUCCAGAACACCGAUAGCGAAGGCAGCUUACUAAGGAGUAACUGACGCUGAGGCACGAAAGUGUGGGGAUCAAACAGG
rnacentral:rRNA from 1 species